UGAAUACGAGACGCUAAGGCGUCGAAGUAGUGUAUGUCAUACUUCCAAGAAAAGCUUGCACUGUCAUAGAUAAAAAACGCCUGUACCAUAACCGACACAGGUGGGUAGGUAGAGUAUACUAAGGGGCGCGAGAUAACUCUCUCUAAGGAACUCGGCAAAAUAACUCCGUAACUUCGGGAGAAGGAGUGCCUUAUUCGUAAGGUUGCAAUAACAAGAUCCAAGCAACUGUUUAUCAAAAACACAGGUCUCCGCUAAGUCGUAAGACGAUGUAUGGGGGCUGACGCCUGCCCAGUGCCAGAAGGUUAAAGAAGUUGGUUAGCAAUUGCGAAGCUGAUAACUGAAGCCCUGGUGAACGGCGGCCGUAACUAUAACGGUCCUAAGGUAGCGAAAUUCCUUGUCGGGUAAGUUCCGACCCGCACGAAAGGCGUAAUGAUUUGGAUACUGUCUCGGAGAGGGGCUCGGUGAAAUAGACUUGUCUGUGAAGAUGCGGACUACCUGCACCAGGACAGAAAGACCCUAUGAAGCUUUACUGUAACUUGAAAUUGAAAUUGGACUUUAUUCGCGCAGUAUAGGUGGGAGGCGUUGAUUAUAAUCUUGUGGGAUUAUUGGAGCCAUCAGUGAGAUACCACUCUUGUAAUGUUAGAUUUCUAACUUUGAAUCAUUAUCUGGUCAAAGAACAGUUUCAGGCGGGCAGUUUGACUGGGGCGGUCGCCUCCUAAACGGUAACGGAGGCGUACAAAGGUUUCCUCUGAACGGUUAGAAAUCGUAUCUAGAGUGUAAAGGCAUAAGGAAGCUUGACUGUGAGACCUACAAGUCGAGCAGGGACGAAAGUCGGUCUUAGUGAUCUGACGGUACUGAGUGGAAAGGCCGUCACUCAACGGAUAAAAGUUACUCUAGGAUGACAGGCUGAUCUUCCCCAAGAGUUCACAUCGACGGGGAGGUUUGGCACCUCGAUGUCGACUCAUCGCAUCCUGGGGCGGUAGUACGUCCCAAGGGUUGGGCUGUUCGCCCAUGAAAGCGGUACGCGAGCUGGGUUCAGAACGUCGUGAGACAGUUCGGUCCAUAUCCGGUGUAGGCGUUAGAAUAUUGAGAGGAGCCUUCUUUAGUACGAGAGGACCGAGAAGGACAUACCUCUGGUGUACCAGUUAUCGUGCCAACGGUAAACGCUGGGUAGCUAUGUAUGGAGUGGAUAACCGCUGAAAGCAUCUAAGUGGGAAGCCCACCUCAAGAUAAGUAUUCUCAGC
rnacentral:rRNA from 1 species